CAAUAGGUCCCAACAAUAACCAACUACCAAGACUAACUAAAUUAAGCGGCAACACAAAUGCUACCGUGAGCUGGGGCUGAAUGGAGGUGCUGGAGUAGUGAGUUGGAAUUGAGCUCCAUUAUGUUACUUGGGGAUUACUCCCCUGCACGAGUUUCACUUUCAUCCAAACCUUUGGCGGGAAAGUAAUGGCUCUCACCAGCGUUUCGCUUUCUCCUCCAUCACUCGUGGCCAUCAUCUUUUCAAGCCACCAUGUCGUCCAUCUUCCCCAAAAUUUCAAUACUAAUGCGCAAUAAACACUCUAUCCGUGUCUCUUCCUUCUCCAAACCCACUAGCUCCACGCACAAGGUUACCCCGAAAGCUGCUAAAGGUGUUCACUACUUCCUAUCUUCAGUUAUUUUGCAAUAUAAACACACACAAAAACGAUUGAAACUUUAGAACCAUCACAUUAAAAUGUGAAUUUUGAAAAUUAUAUCAUUUUCUUUUGUGGAAAAAAUAAUCGGAUACAUAGAUGAGAGGUUUGGGACUAGUUAGAUCUGCUGAAUAAGUUCUGAAUUCCAGCACAAACGAGCCCGUUGUGACUUCAGGCAUAGUCCGUUUAUCUGGUCCAUCUGAGUAGUCUGUUUCGAAUUUUGAAUAAGAGAAGUCACGACUCGAAGCCAAUUAGCCCUGUCGUGGAGUAUUGUGUGGCAGUGGAUUCUCAUGAGAAUGUAGUUGAUGAGGUACUAUAGAUAUUAAUUUGGGUUUUGUUGUAAUUUUUUCUUCCACUAUUAAAUGAACUUUGUGCAUAGAGAAAAUGAACGAGGAAGAAUAGUGGACCACCCAUUUUAAGGUUUUUGAGUAUCUCCAAAAACAUUGUUGUCUAGAAGUAUCUACUUUUGAUGUAUUAGAGAAAAAAAUUGUACAGACUACAGUUUACCAAAAUGAAUUCAUUUCAGACAUUUCCUCAAAUAUAUUUAUUUAUCUGAAUAGUUUGCAAGAAUGAUGCCGAACUUCUUUUAUAUUGCAUGUUUUGACCACAAAAUUCCCCCCAAACCGCACGGUGUAAAGACCAUAUUCAACAAAAUCUGAUCCCCAACUCUCACUUUGGCUUAUUAUAAAGGGAAAAUUGCAGCAG
rnacentral:lncRNA from 1 species